rnacentral:misc_RNA from 1 species
GGCAUUUUCCCUGGAUUUCAACUUGAGAUCCCAUAUGAAAACGCAUUCACAAGAGAACUACCAUAUUUGUCCGUACGCUGAUUGUGGAAAGAGAUUUGCCCACGAGUACAAAUUGAAGAAUCACAUUACAUCUCACCAUGAAAAGAAUGUGACAGCUGAAGUGGUCAAAUAUACACCGCCUUCCGAGAAGCAAACUAAGGUUUCUAAACCUUCUGGAGGAGCUUAUGCUUCUGCGUCAUCAGAUCGUCCAUAUGCUUGCCCCACGG